rnacentral:tRNA from 1 species
GGGCUUUGGUCUAAAGGUAAGAUUCUCGUUUCGGGUGCGAGAGAUUCUGGGUUCAAUUCCCA